UACGUAGGGAGCAAGCGUUGUCCGGAAUCAUUGGGCGUAAAGCGCGCGUAGGUGGCCUCGUAAGUCCGCUGUGAAAGUCAAAGGCUCAACCUUUGAAAGCCGGUGGAUACUGUGGGGCUAGAGUACGGAAGAGGCGAGUGGAAUUCCUGGUGUAGCGGUGGAAUGCGCAGAUAUCAGGAGGAACACCAUAGCGAAGGCAGCUCGCUGGGACGUAACUGACACUGAGGCGCGAAAGCGUGGGGAGCGAACAGG
rnacentral:rRNA from 1 species